GAGAGAGAGUUUGCAUGUGUGUGUGUGCGGAGGGGAAAGAAGUGGGGGAGGUCAGCAAUGGAGGAUGGGGAGUGGUAAUCAGAAACUGGUCAGAGUGUGUGUGUGUGUGCUUGGCUACAUUCUAACAUAACAGAGCUGACAAAAGAUGACUCCUAGGAAUCUAUUCAUGUCUAAACUGCUAAACUGAAUAUAAUAAUACUAACAAUUAUUAUUAUCAUUAUUAUUAUUAUUAUGAUGAUAACAAUAAUAACAACAACAAAUUAUUGAAAAAAAAUUCCAUUAGCUUUUCACAUCUGUCCAAAUGAAAGCUGUUUAGCAUUUUCAUUGUCUCUCUCUCUCACCACACACAACUUAGUUCACACAUUGUUUAAUAUAUAUGUAGGUGUUUUUAUGUCCAUACACACACACACACACACACACACAUCAUUUCAUUUAUAAUCUUUUACUGGUUUCAUUCAUUGGACCGUGACCAUGCUGGGGCACUUCUUACCAAUUGUUCCAGCCGGUUAUACCAACCAGCCCCCGGUACUUACCUCAGCCUGGUACUCAAUAUUAUUGAUCUAUAGUUGUCGAGCAGCUAAGUCACACACCUACACACCUACACACACACAAUGGGCUUAUGCACUGUUUUUUUCUCUACUGAUAGAAGAGACCGGAUCAGGUACAACGGAAUGUGCUCAAAGCCAGGGCCUCACCGUUGUGAAGCAACCUUGCUGCCACACAGCUAUGUCUGCACACACCUUGAACCCAAUGUGCGAAGAAGGAAAGAAGUCGAGUUUUCCUUUGAGACAAUUCUUUAAUACUGACAACAAAAAAGUGAGAAAGAGAGACAAACACACACACGCACACACACACACGCACACACCAGUGUAGCAGUUUCAGUUCCCGAUCUCGCAUAGUGGUAUACAGGUACAAGAAAGAAAGAAAGAAAGAAAAGAGAACAUGAAUCCAGGAAGAGAAAUCAAUAUUAACUUCCAACAAAGACAGAAACCAGAAUUUUAGAGGGCAGAGAGAAGAGACUGAAAGACAUGCUGGCAGUUGUCAAUGUGGCAGAGCCCAGUCUACAACAGGAACUGAGAAGACACACAACAUGCUUGUAGCUCUGGCAGGCAGCUGCAGCAACUUAUAAGAUAACCACCUGCUUCUUGAACACAGCGAAAUACUUCACCUUUCAAGGUCAAGAGCAUGUACUCACAAGACGGUACUUCACCUGUGCCAACCCACCUAGAUAACGUA